UACGUAGGGUGCAAGCGUUGUCCGGAAUUAUUGGGCGUAAAGAGCUCGUAGGCGGUCUGUCGCGUCUGCUGUGAAAACUCAGGGCUUAACCCUGGAGCUUGCGAGUGGGGUACGGGCAGACUAGAGUCGCGAGGGGGAGACUGGAAUUCCUGGUGUAGCGGUGGAAUGCGCAGAUAUCAGGAGGAACACCGGUGGCGAAGGCGGGGUCUCUGG
rnacentral:rRNA from 1 species